AUCGGAACGUGCCCAGUCGUGGGGGAUAACGUAGCGAAAGCUACGCUAAUACCGCAUACGAUCUAUGGAUGAAAGCGGGGGAUCGCAAGACCUCGGCGCGAUUGGAGCGGCCGAUAUCAGAUUAGGUAGUUGGUGGGGUAAAGGCCCACCAAGCCGACGAUCUGUAGCUGGUCUGAGAGGACGACCAGCCACACUGGGACUGAGACACGGCCCAGACUCCUACGGGAGGCAGCAGUGGGGAAUUUUGGACAAUGGGCGCAAGCCUGAUCCAGCAAUGCCGCGUGCAGGAUGAAGGCCUUCGGGUUGUAAACUGCUUUUGUACGGAGCGAAAAGGCUCUCUCUAAUACAGGGGGCUCAUGACGGUACCUAAG
rnacentral:rRNA from 1 species